UGGGGAAUAUCGGACAAUGGGGGCAACCCUGAUCCAGCCAUGCCGCGUGAGUGAUGAAGGCCUUCGGGUUGUAAAGCUCUUUUGGCGGGGACGAUGAUGACGGUACCCGCAGAAUAAGCCCCGGCUAACUUCGUGCCAGCAGCCGCGGUAAGACGAAGGGGGCUAGCGUUGUUCGGAAUUACUGGGCGUAAAGCGCGUGUAGGUGGUUUGCCAAGUCGGGUGUGAAAGCCUUGGGCUUAACCCAAGAAAUGCACUCGGUACUGGCAGACUAGAGGACCGGAGAGGAUAGUGGAAUUCCCAGUGUAGUGGUGAAAUACGUAGAGAUUGGGAAGAACACCAGUGGCGAAGGCGGCUAUCUGGACGGUUUCUGACGCUAAGACGCGAAAGCGUUGGGAGCAAACAG
rnacentral:rRNA from 1 species